GAUGAACGCUAGCGGCAGGCUUAAUACAUGCAAGUCGAGGGGCAGCACAGGUAGCAAUACUGGGUGGCGACCGGCAAACGGGUGCGGAACACGUACACAACUUACCUUCUGGUGGGGGAUAGCCUUUGGAAACGGAGAUUAAUACCCCAUAUUAUAUAUGAGCUGCAUGGUUUGUAUAUUAAAGAUUUAUUGCCGGAAGAUGGGUGUGCGUAUGAUUAGGUAGUUGGCGGGGUAACGGCCCACCAAGCCGACGAUCAUUAACUGGUGUGAGAGCCCGACCAGUCACACGGGCACUGGGACACGGGCCCGACUCCUACGGGAGGCAGCAGUAAGGAAUAUUGGUCAAUGGACGGAAGUCUGAACCAGCCAUGCCGCGUGGAGGAUGAAGGUCCUCUGGAUUGUAAACUUCUUUUAUAGGGGGCGAAAAAAGGGAAUUCUUUCUCGUCUGACGGUACCCUAUGAAUAAGCACCGGCUAACUCCGUGCCAGCAGCCGCCGUAAAAC
rnacentral:rRNA from 1 species